GGAUCUGUUCUAUAGGCUCGUACCUCUGUUUCCUUGAUUUCUAAGGAGACAGGCCCUUAACCCUGGUUGAUGAACCAUGGCCGUGCGAUCAGAGCGUGAUUGACGGCUACGAUCGUCUUAGGACGCAUCUGGUGCUGUAGAGGAUCGUUACUCGGCUCGGUUCUACCUUGCCGGGGUGGUUGCACGGCGGUCUGACAGUAAUGUGGGUAUUUCGUCCCAAGUCAACCACUUUAUAUGUACAACUCUACAUUCCCUCUACGAAGAUAGUGCAUCCCAAUAAUGAGCAGACUAUGAGAAGCUAGCAGAGAUAUUCUUCUUUUUUUGGUUUAAAGAAAAGCUAAAGUCUGUCAAGGAAUCAAGUCCAAUUGGAUCCUGCACUGAAUACCAUUCGUGUAUGAGGCAUGGAACUAACGAAGGAGCAUUCAGGAACACCUGCUUUGAAAAAAGGCAUCACCAUGGUACUCGUCAAUGGAAUCUCUAGCUUGUGUAGACCAGGAUUUACAUAAAGCCACAAGUAGGAGCUAGCUCAUGUAAAUGGAGAAAUGCAAAAGUGAUUUGAGAGCACUGAUCAUCACAAAUCACAUUAAAAUAAUGAUGCUUAUGAACAUACCUCAUCUAGAAA